CUAUAUUAAGAUAGAAUUCAAAGACAGGGAGAGCUAUGGUUUUCAAGCAAGCAGUAGAAAUUGACUUAACUACUUCACUAUGAAAACUGACUUAACUACUUAACUGCACUCUGAAAAAACCCUAGUAUGUAUGAUUUACUCUACCUGUAUGAUUGACUCUUGAAAACAUCACUUGUCAUCAUUUUGUAUCACUUUCAUUGUUGGGUGCUGCCGUAGAUUCUAUUGGAACAGGAGCUUAUCCUGCUCUUGGGACUUCAACGGAUACAGAUCUCGUCGACUAUACUAGAGUCACUUCCCGCUUCAACGCUAGGACCUGCUGAUUACAAUGCAUUUACAUGGCUAGGACCUGCUGAUUACAAUACAUUUAUAUGCUAGGGGAAACCAUCUUUUGUUCUCUUGCUUGCACCAAUCAUAAUAAUGAAUAAACCAACUACUUUACUUAUCCGACCCGAUCCAUCUUCUUAAUUAAUAUCUUAUAUCUAUUCUUCUUAAUUAACUUCAUUCAUUUAUAUAGGAGAGAGAGUUGAGUCGACUCGACCGGAAGCUGUUGCCGAAGCCUAAUCCAUUCUUUCUCAUGCCCACGUAGCGGUGCGAGUAUUAAGCCUAAACCUCUCAAUCAGAUGUUGUUCCAGCUAGAUCUGGAAGUAUAUCGGUCAUUCACUCGUUCUCCGGGGUCAUUCAUGGAGGCGUGAUCAACUGGUCGAGGGGGUACUGGUGUCAUGUCAUAGAAAAACAACUCUACUAUUUGGAUCAAUAGAAGAAAUCUCCUAUCUACUCAAUAGUAUUGCUUGUCUUGUAUUAAUACGAAAUAGAACUUGCCCGUGCCUCAAAGACUACUGACUGGUACAUAGCUUUCCAACAAUGGUACCCAUCGUGCGAAACCGUACAUUUGCUUUUUGGCACUUU
rnacentral:lncRNA from 1 species